rnacentral:rRNA from 1 species
UACGUAGGGGGCAAGCGUUGUCCGGAAUCAUUGGGCGUAAAGAGCGUGUAGGCGGCCCGGUAAGUCCGCUGUGAAAGUCCAGGGCUCAACCCUGGGAUGCCGGUGGAUACUGUCGGGCUCGAGUCCGGAAGAGGAGUGUGGAAUUCCUGGUGUAGCGGUGAAAUGCGCAGAUAUCGGGAAGAACACCCGUGGCGAAGGCGGCUCUCUGGGACGGUACUGACGCUGAGACGCGAAAGCGUGGGGAGCGAACAGG